rnacentral:rRNA from 1 species
CAGCACCUCAAGUGGUCAGGAUGAUUAUUGGGCCUAAAGCAUCCGUAGCCGGCUCUGUAAGUUUUCGGUUAAAUCUGUACGCUCAGCGUACAGGCUGCCGGGAAUACUGCAGAGCUAGGGAGUGGGAGAGGUAGACGGUACUCGGUAGGAAGGGGUAAAAUCCUUUGAUCUAUUGAUGACCACCUGUGGCGAAGGCGGUCUACCAGAACACGUCCGACGGUGAGGGAUGAAAGCUGGGGGAGCAAACCGGAUUAGAUACCCGAGUAGUCC